rnacentral:lncRNA from 1 species
GUGGGGGUGGGUGUGGGAGGGGAUGGUUUCAGGAUGAAACUGUUCCACCUCAGAUCAUCAGGUGUUAGAUUCUCAUAAGAGGUGCCCAACCUACAUCCGUCGCACCUGCAGUCCACAAUAGGGUUUGUGCUCCUAUGGGAAUGUAAUGCCACACUGAUCUGACAGGAGGCGGGGCUCAGGUAGUAAUGCUCACUCACCUGCCGCUCACCUCCUGCUGUGGGGCCGGUUCCCAACAGGCCAUGGAAUGCUUACUGGUCCACAGCCCUGGACUUGGGCACCCCUCUUCUAAGGCACAAACUUCUACUGUCUUAGGAGCAGCACCCUGGCCUCCACAGCAGGGAGAGAGCAGGAAUACCCAGCCACAGAUAUUGAUGAAGAUAUUGAUCAACUUCCUACCGUCAUGGUGGAGCCAUGCCUGGAGGCCUCUGGAUGGUCAUCAGGUAACCCCAGCACAUUUUCCUGUCCCAGACUCCUGGCCACGCUGAGGUUGCUGUGAACAGACACGAUGUGCAGGGUCAUGGAUGUGAAGCUAGAACUCCUUGACAAGCAGGAGCUUUAUUUUAUGGCCCAAGCAGUUUGGAAACAAAAUCAUAAAGUGCUUACCCAUCCAGUGUCUCCCCAGCCUGCACUGGGAGGUAUCAAACUGACCAGAUCCGACAGCCCCUUCCGCCCGCAGAAGAUGGGUCUGCGUUUCUCUGUCUUUCCCUCUUGGUGGCCAAGAACUGUCAACAUCCAGCUGUGGCUCUGCACUCAGCCGCCACUCAGCCUGCUCAGGUUGAAAGGUCAAAUGUUGUCUGGAAUUGGCAGCCCAGCUUACUAGCAGCUCUUCUGUCUUCAGAGUGCAGCGAGGGGAGCUGUCAGAGGGCUGAGGCAAGGACCAGAGAGGCAACUCCUGCGACAGAGAAAGCUCAUCCCUGGGUAUGUUCUGGAGGGAGAAUAGCAGGGUCUGUCCCAGGAACUUUAUUAGCUAGCGGUUAAGAUCCUCAUCCCCAGAAAAGCCAAUAGGAAUUAGCUGGGUGAUGUGUGCCUAUGGUCCCAGCCACUCAGGAGGGUGAGGAGGGAGAAUUGCUUGAGCCCAGGAGGUUGAGGCUGCAGCUAGCUAUGAUUGUGUCACUGCGCUCCAGCCUGGGUGACAAAGCAAGAUCCUGACUCAAAACAAAAAAAAAAGGAAGAAAGAAGAAAGAGAGAACGAAGAAAGAAAGGAAAGAAAGAGAAACAGAGAAGGAAGGAAGGAAGGAGAAAGGAAAGAAGGAAGGAAGAAAAGGAAGAAAGAAUGACAAAAGGAAGGAAGGAAAGAAAGAUGAAAAGAAAAGGAAAGGAAAAGAAAAGAAAAAAGAAAGGAAAAAAGAAAAGCAGAUAGGAAAGUGAGGGGAGAGGGCCAGGAAGACAGAAGACAGGAUGGGCAAGAAGGAUGGGAAGGAUUCCCACACCAGAUUCAGGAGUGGCUCUGCAUUGGGAAAUCCUUCUACAACUGCUGGGGACUUGGUUUUGCAAACAUGCACAGAGAAACCUUCAUCCACCUCUGUGCAAUGUUGGACUGAAGUAGAAAUGAGCUGCUGUUUUCUGGAAGCACCCCAUUUCUUUGAGCUGAUCUUCUCUAAUAAUGAAUUCUGGUGAAGCCUGCCAUUCACAGCACCCCGCCCUCCCGUCUGUAGGAGGUGGGCACAGGACCCAGGCCAGCUGAUCAGAGAGCUCCCUUGCCCUGGGAUGAGCACGUGACCCAGAUGGCUCAAUCACGGGGAAGAUCCUCUUGCCUGUUGUAGCCACUAUGCUGGAAGAACAGGAUUUGGGCUUGUUGGCCGCCAUCUUCCAGUCCACACUGGGAACCCAUUUGCAGGAGGAGGGAAGGAGGACAACCCAGUUUGAGGGAGCAUAUGGACAGCAGCUGUGGAAGGCUCCAUAUGUGCCCAAUACUAGAUCUACCCCAUCCCUUCCUGUUCCAUAAAUCCAUACAUCUUCUCCCACUUUUGCUUACCCUAGUUUGAGUUACAUUUCUGACACCUGCCACCAUAAAAGCCCAAAUGAUUACAAGGAAUAUUUGGCUGCAGAAAAGACCCUGCAGUCUGUGAAAAAAGAGGCUGCUGGUGCAUAGUCAUCACAGACCAGUGCAAAGAGUGAAACAGAAACAUCCAGCUUAAUCUGCAAAAGCCUUUUUGGAUCUUUGAGAGGCGUUCAUUAACUUACAGCAAAUUGAUGAGCUGAUAUUCUUCUUUCAUCCAGGAACUUAGGCCAGCUCCCAUCCAGUUCAAUCAGGUUGGGACCACCAAUUCUUCAAUGGGCCUGCCCAAAUGCCCAAGAAGUGGACUUUUGAUGUCAGAGGGCCAAAGAUCCCACCCUCAGAUCAUGCUAAUGCCACCACUUUCUGUACACAUGUCCUGUGAAAUGCCACAAACCCUGACUACUACGCUUGUGCAGAACAAACCUAUCAAUUAAUUUUUCCCUACUGCCAAUCACCUUUCCCCAUGCCUUACACCACCGUGUUUCCCUAACGCAUAAAUAUCCCUAAGCCUUAUCUUCAGGAAGCAGGAUGUGAGAGCUGUUCUACCACCUUGUUUGGUGGCCUUGCAAAUAAAUCCUUUCUCUUUUG